rnacentral:rRNA from 1 species
UGAAUACGAGACGCUAAGGCGUCGAAGUAGUGUAUGUCAUACUUCCAAGAAAAGCUUGCACUGUCAUAGAUAAAAAACGCCUGUACCAUAACCGACACAGGUGGGUAGGUAGAGUAUACUAAGGGGCGCGAGAUAACUCUCUCUAAGGAACUCGGCAAAAUAACUCCGUAACUUCGGGAGAAGGAGUGCCUUAUUCGUAAGGUUGCAAUAACAAGAUCCAAGCAACUGUUUAUCAAAAACACAGGUCUCCACUAAGUCGUAAGACGAUGUAUGGGGGCUGACGCCUGCCCAGUGCCAGAAGGUUAAAGAAGUUGGUUAGCAAUUGCGAAGCUGAUAACUGAAGCCCUGGUGAACGGCGGCCGUAACCAUAACGGUCCUAAGGUAGCGAAAUUCCUUGUCGGGUAAGUUCCGACCCGCACGAAAGGCGUAAUGAUUUGGAUACUGUCUCGGAGAGGGGCUCGGUGAAAUAGACUUGUCUGUGAAGAUGCGGACUACCUGCACCAGGACAGAAAGACCCUAUGAAGCUUUACUGUAACUUGAAAUUGAAAUUGGACUUUAUUCGCGCAGUAUAGGUGGGAGGCGUUGAUUAUAAUCUUGUGGGAUUAUUGGAGCCAUCAGUGAGAUACCACUCUUGUAGUGUUAGAUUACUAACUUUGAAUCAUUAUCUGGUCAAAGAACAGUUUCAGGCGGGCAGUUUGACUGGGGCGGUCGCCUCCUAAACGGUAACGGAGGCGUACAAAGGUUUCCUCUGAACGGUUAGAAAUCGUAUCUAGAGUGUAAAGGCAUAAGGAAGCUUGACUGUGAGACCUACAAGUCGAGCAGGGACGAAAGUCGGUCUUAGUGAUCUGACGGUACUGAGUGGAAAGGCCGUCACUCAACGGAUAAAAGUUACUCUAGGAUAACAGGCUGAUCUCCCCCAAGAGUUCACAUCGACGGGGAGGCUUGGCACCUCGAUGUCGGCUCAUCGCAUCCUGGGGCGGUAGUACGUCCCAAGGGUUGGGCUGUUCGCCCAUGAAAGCGGUACGCGAGCUGGGUUCAGAACGUCGUGAGACAGUUCGGUCCAUAUCCGGUGUAGGCGUUAGAAUAUUGAGAGGAGCCUUCUUUAGUACGAGAGGACCGAGAAGGACAUACCUCUGGUGUACCAGUUAUCGUGCCAACGGUAAACGCUGGGUAGCUAUGUAUGGAGUGGAUAACCGCUGAAAGCAUCUAAGUGGGAAGCCCACCUCAAGAUAAGUAUUCC